ACUCCUACGGGAGGCAGCAGUGGGGAAUAUUGCACAAUGGGCGAAAGCCUGAUGCAGCAACGCCGCGUGAGUGAUGAAGGUCUUCGGAUUGUAAAGCUCUGUCUUCUGGGACGAUAAUGACGGUACCAGAGGAGGAAGCCACGGCUAACUACGUGCCAGCAGCCGCGGUAAUACGUAGGUGGCGAGCGUUGUCCGGAAUUACUGGGCGUAAAGGAUGCGUAGGCGGAUAUUUAAGUCAGAUGUGAAACCCCCAGGCUUAACUUGGGGACUGCAUUUGAAACUGGAUAUCUAGAGUGCAGGAGAGGUAAGUGGAAUUCCUAGUGUAGCGGUGAAAUGCGUAGAGAUUAGGAAGAACACCAGUGGCGAAGGCGGCUUACUGGACUGUAACUGACGCUGAGGCAUGAAAGCGUGGGUAGCAAACAGGAUUAGAUACCCUGGUAGUC
rnacentral:rRNA from 1 species